GCAUCCAUGGAUGAAUGGUUAAAGCACCUAACUCAUAGUUGGAAAAUUCAUAGGUUCAAUUCCUACUGGAUGCA
rnacentral:tRNA from 1 species